CCUACGGGAGGCAGCAGUGAGGAAUAUUGGUCAAUGGACGAGAGUCUGAACCAGCCAAGUAGCGUGAAGGAUGACUGUCCUAUGGGUUGUAAACUUCUUUUAUAUGGGAAUAAAAUGUUCCACGUGUGGGAUUUUGUAUGUACCAUAUGAAUAAGGAUCGGCUAACUCCGUGCCAGCAGCCGCGGUAAUACGGAGGAUCCGAGCGUUAUCCGGAUUUAUUGGGUUUAAAGGGAGCGUAGGUGGAUUGUUAAGUCAGUUGUGAAAGUUUGCGGCUCAACCGUAAAAUUGCAGUUGAAACUGGCAGUCUUGAGUACAGGAGAGGUGGGCGGAAUUCGUGGUGUAGCGGUGAAAUGCUUAGAUAUCACGAAGAACUCCGAUUGCGAAGGCAGUUCACUGGACUGCAACUGACACUGAGGCUCGAAAGUGUGGGUAUCAAACAGGAUUAGAUACCCUAGUAGUC
rnacentral:rRNA from 1 species